UCCACAACGGAGGACAAUCCUACAGUUGGGGAAGAAGCUUCCAUCAAAAUCCGUCUCCAUCCUGCUUCAUUUCGGGAAAGAGUACAUUUUAAAAAGCAAGAACAUAGUCUACGCGUUCUGAGCUUUUGGCAAUAGCAAUAUCGUUGUGUUCUGAAAAAGACAUAGGUAUAAAAGGGAUGGUGAAAGUUGGAUUGUUACAGAAGGAAUUUAAUAAUCUUGUAUUAUUCAGGGUAGGGGGGCGUCUGAAUAAAGGAGUUUGUAUACCAGCAAAGUAAGGUGAUAUUUGGGGUGGUUGGGUAACCAAAGAGAGCAAAAACACCCGGGUGGAUUUUUCAAAACAACACAUUCUGAAGAUUGCUUCGUAAGAAUAACAUUGAACCAUGGAAUUAAGAGUGGGAAACCGAUACAGGCUGGGAAGGAAAAUUGGAAGUGGAUCCUUUGGAGACAUCUAUUUAGGCACAGACAUCUCAGUGGGAGAGGAGGUGGCCAUCAAGCUGGAAUGUGUGAAGACCAAGCACCCACAGCUCCACAUCGAGAGCAAGAUCUACAAGAUGAUGCAGGGAGGAGUGGGCAUCCCUACAAUAAAGUGGUGUGGAGCAGAGGGAGACUACAACGUGAUGGUGAUGGAGCUACUAGGCCCCAGUCUGGAGGACCUGUUCAACUUCUGCUCCCGCAAGUUCAGCCUCAAGACUGUCCUGCUGCUGGCUGACCAGAUGAUCAGCCGUAUUGAGUACAUCCACUCUAAGAACUUCAUCCACAGAGAUGUGAAGCCUGACAACUUCCUGAUGGGCCUGGGCAAGAAGGGCAACCUGGUGUACAUCAUUGACUUUGGGCUGGCCAAGAAGUACCGCGACGCCCGCACACACCAGCACAUCCCCUACCGCGAGAACAAGAACCUGACCGGCACGGCACGCUACGCAUCCAUCAACACACACCUGGGGAUAGAGCAGUCUCGUCGUGAUGACCUGGAGUCUCUUGGUUACGUCCUGAUGUACUUCAACCUGGGCUCUCUGCCCUGGCAGGGCCUCAAGGCCGCCACCAAGAGGCAGAAGUACGAACGCAUCAGUGAGAAGAAGAUGUCCACCCCUAUCGAGGUGCUCUGCAAGGGAUACCCCUCGGAGUUCUCCACCUACCUGAACUUCUGUCGCUCUCUGCGGUUCGAUGACAAGCCGGACUACUCGUACCUGAGACAGCUGUUCAGAAACCUGUUCCACAGACAAGGCUUCUCCUACGACUACGUCUUUGACUGGAACAUGCUCAAGUUUACUGCCCCUAAUUCCAAGGGGGCCAACCGUGCAGCGGAGGAGGCGGAGCGGGAGCGGAGGGACAGAGAGGAUAGGCUGAGACACGGCAGAAACCCUGGGGCCAGGGGACUCCCGGCCGCCUCAGGACGACCCCGAGGAACACAGGAUCCGGCGCCACCUACACCCCUCACACCCACCUCACACACAGAUCAGUCGUCCUGGUCCCUUUGCAGAAAAACAGCCCCAAAGCAUGAUGUUUCCACCCCCAUGCUUCACAGUAGCCAACAUGUCUCCACGACCGGCGUCCGGUAUGGAACGAGAGAGAAAAGUGAGCAUGCGGCUUCACCGGGGAGCUCCCGUUAACGUCUCCUCGUCCGACCUGACGGGACACCAGGACACCUCUCGCAUGUCCACCUCACAGUUGGUGUCUGGCAUGAUUCCUGGUGGCCUCCACUCUGCAGCGCCUCGAUGAGACAAGACCCACAAUGCCACUGGCACAGCAGAGGACUGCACCAAGCCUGGCUCAACCAAUCGGCAGCCAGCUCGUUAGCUACUACAGAAAACAUCGGAAGACCACCUCUCUCCUGACCUGGCAGUGUCUGGUUGUUCCUUUCUUUCACACUAGUUAUCUUGUUCCUUGCCCACUCGGUCUCUCUCUCCCUCUAUGCUCUCUUUCUAGCUUUCUCUGUACUCUCUCAAUUGUUUCGAUAAAAAAACUUGGAAAUAAGUACCACAUCUGCGACCUCUUUUCCCAGAGACAUUUUCCAUGCCUGUGCAGAGACUGGUCUUGGCUGUGAUGGCGAUCUAACCGAGUUCUUUUAAGACCGAAACGACAAACGGAACAACAACAACUGCCACCGUGGUUACUACUCCUCAUCCAUGGCACGUUGUCAAUAAAGACACUCAUUUCUACUCCCACUGUACAUUACUACAUAAUAAAUCUGAUAUGAAAAGAGCUGAUCCAAGAUUGAGGCUCUGUUUUAAAUGGGUCGUUUUGGGUGUACUGCUUUUCAUUUGUACUUUACAGAUCUGUUUUCUCUGACCACCAGCUGGUUUUCUAUUGUUUUCACAGCUCUGGUCUGUAACUCUAAAGCCAUUUGUAAUACAUACUAUUUGCAUGUUUUAACACUCAGCCUCCCUUUGAACUGCUGAUAUGUAGGGUUUUAACUCUAAAUCACAUCUGAAAUUCUCAUCUGUAUUUCUAGAUGGGGUUUUAUGGUCAAAGUUGCUCAAGUUGUAGAUGUAUAGGAGGGCCCCGUAAAGGUUUCCUUUUCUCCCCAACCAAGACAGUCUCUCAUGGACUACUGUACAGAUCUACAUGCUCAUUUCCUGUUAUUUGUAAUAUUUCUAAGCUGUGAAAUACAUGUAAUAUAGAUGUUUACUUUUUGAGGUGAAUUUGGGUUGGGUUUCUUAAAUUGGGUCUGCUCAAAAGUGUGAAAUCACUGUCCUAUAAUCGGUCUGGUUCGGUCCAGUUUUGGGCUGUCAUAAUCAUUGUCCGUGCCCAGGCUUGUGCUGCGUCUGUCCAAAAAGAUGAAGUGCAGGAUUGUUUUAGUUGGAGUGCCUCAAAUUCACAAAAAUUGAGAGCACUCACACAGAGACUUAUCAGUGUCAGUUUAAAAUAGCAGCCAUUUAACAAUGAUUUUGUUUUAUUGAUUGUGAACUUACAUUUUUAUAUUUUCUUAUUGUCUCCAUGAUGUGAACACUGGUGUUAUUUUGACAUGUUUUGAGAAAUAAAAUGGUGCUGCACUGAUGUGGCUACAAGCAGAGGCACGUGCACUUAACAUCUGUGUUUACUUUGUAUCUCCUGAUAAAUUAACCGAUUGACACUUCUCUUGGGUGGGCUAUGGUCUUUGACGUUCAACUCAAUGGUCGCGUUACCCUGUUCAGACGUUGCAUGCAUCAACCAAUGAUUGCGUGCCACAUCGACUGCUGUCGGGCACGAGAUCGCUAUAACAUCUGGUUAGCUGAUACGUUAAAUACGUAUCCAUGCUUUGUAAGAUCUGACAUGCUUCAGCAACACCUGGACAGAGUAACGCGCCAAAUCUCUACUGAUCUUCAGCAAAGAGUGUGGAGCAAGAGUUUGGGAUAUUCAACUCAACCUCAGUCAGCAAAUGUUUUAUUUUUUGGGUCUGCACAGCCUAAUCGUUACCAUGGUUCACCCCUAUAGAACCAUUUUAAUGCAGGCCUGAUUCCUGACUAGUCAUUUUAUCCUAUGGUUUAACCCAUGGGCAGUUUGGUCAAUCACUGACUCACCCUUCUAUGUGUAAUUAACUAAGCUACCAGCUCUGAAAUAAUAUGACUUUCUCUCAUUUGUAUUUGCCACUGUAUUUGUGUACUUUAAAAACUGUAAAUAAAUGAAGUACUUGUA